rnacentral:rRNA from 1 species
CUCGUAGGCGGUUCAGUAAGUCAGGUGUGAAAUCUUUGGGCUUAACCCAAAGCGUGCACUUGAUACUGCUGUGACUUGAGUUCGGUAGGGGAGUGGGGAAUUCCUAGUGUAGCGGUGAAAUGCGCAGAUAUUAGGAGGAACACCGGUGGCGAAGGCGCCACUCUGGGUCGAAACUGACGCUGAGGAGCGAAAGCGUGGGUAGCAAACA